AUAUUUUUGAAUUUUCUCCCCUUUUUAAAAUUGGAACUUCUUUUAGUAGUUUGUCACACUCAAUCUUCUUAGUCGAGGAUAUCAAACUUAUCUUGGUGUUUGUGUGCCUUGUGACAGUUGGUGGAACUGAAAAAUGGGGAGACCUACAACAGGCAUUUGGUAAACUGUGAUACUUGGAUGAACAUACAUCUUCGUGCAGCCAUGUACUUCUAAGGUGCUCGGGUAGCUAAAGCUACAUUUGAAGAAGCUAUUCUAACCAAUUAGGAUGCCGACACAUUUACUUGCCAUGGUUGAAGUUUGUACGGCCUUGGAGGCAUUGAAAUAGACAGCGUAGAGGAGCAGCACAAGUGGAGAUCUACACUGUUUGCAUCGAGCUUCUGAUGGGAUUUUAGAAGCCUUUAGAUGAUGAUACCUAUCUUGUAAAUAUUGUGCUAGACUUUUUAGCAUUAUGCAAUUUGUUUGACUACGGGUGGACGUAA